UAUCAGCUGCCUAAUUUUGAUCCUCCAGAAAACCCUAAAGUCGUCGGUUAAAUUCGACCGGUGCCGCUACCACUUUCCCCUCUGUUGGUGUCCGGUGCUCGUCGGCUAUUGUUGGGCGACGUAUUGCAUGUAUUCGGCACCGCCAUCGACCACACUUGGCUCUCUCUCUCCACUAGUCGCCUCUUCUCAUUUCUCCCGAAAAUCCUAAAGUCGCCGGUCAAUUUCGACCGGCGCCGCCUCGUUUCUGUUGUCCCGUGUUCGUCGGCUCCCAAUUUUCCGGUCCGGAGGCCUCUGUGAGAAAUCUUUCGAUCUCUCCUACACUGUUGUCCUUCAUGAGUAAGCUGCUCACUUUCCAGAAUAUUGGGUGAGAUCAUCCAAUUUUCUCCCUAUUUUUUGUAUAUGUGCUUUGGUAUAGGCUCUGUUUGGACUGUGUUCUUUGAAUUAUUACAUGUGUAUGUGAUUUGGUAUAGGCUUUGUGUGGCCUCUGUUAUUUGAAUUAUUCCCUGUGUAUGCUCUUUGGUAUAGGCUAUGUGUGGCCUCUGUUAUGUGUUUACUCGCUGAAAUCGUGUAAGGCACUAGUUGGGCGAUUGUUAGCAUGUUUGAGAUGAUGAACUCUNAGACAACCUGCAUACAUUUUUCUUUACAAAAACUACUUAGAUGUGUCUACAAAAAGUAUUCCAAUAUGUGGCAGCCUCCAUGACAACUUGAAUACCUAAGCCAUUCAUUUGGUAUUCAAUUUCAUCUAAGGAAAUUGAACUUAUUCCAAGUGCAUUCCUUAGAUGAUCCAUGCCACUUACAAUUCUGUUCUCCAUGAGAUAGUGAAUUGCCUCUUUAACUAAAUCAUGGGGAACUUGUAAGUUGAUUGGUAGUUCUCCCAGCCUAAUAAGUGAUCAUUUCUUCAUAUGAGGGAUUUUGUAGCAGUUGUGGCCUUUUACCUUUAGAAUUUCAGUCAAACAACCUUGAAGGCUUAAGAAAACCUUGCUGAGUGUUGUAGGAGAAAGUUCAUCAAAUGAACUCUUUACUGCCUCCACUAAUGUAUCUACAUUGGUACAAACUGAUUCAGUUUGUAGGCUUUAAAUGGCCCUAACCCAACCAAGAUCAUUAAUGUUGGUAUCCAGUGAAUUGGGAGGUUGAUGAACAAUCUUUAUGUCAAAGCCAUCUGAGCUGGCAGCCUGUCUAAAAUCCAGAGAUGAUCACUAUCUUUAAUGUGAGGCUUCGCGCUGUCUUAUUGAAUAAAUAUCAUCCUACUUGCAAAUUGUGGCCACUUGGCCUUUAUUGCAGGAAUAAUCUGCCAAUAUACAAUUAAAAAGCAGUUCAACCCCUAAGUAAUGGAAAGCCUAUCUAAAACACAACUUAAUUGAAUACAUAUCAUACUAGAGUUACAUACAUGAUAUAUUUCAUAAGUGUACUACCUUGUCAAUAAUGCAGUCCUUAAUUACUUCUUUCGUGAUUGAUUGAAUGGGCGUUUGCUCGAGUGUACUUGCCUCCCUGUUUUUGCUAUUCCUCUUGGCUGGUACAUAUUCUGUAAAUGAAAAAAAUGCUUAUUUUCCCAUCAAAAAGCACAGUCCCAUCUUCUGCUAUCCAUGGCCUGCACACAGCACACAUGAACAUGACUUUGGUUAUGAACUUCUUUGACUUGCAAGUCCUGUGUGGUUCAGCCUCACCGGGUGUCAAAUAGAACCGGUGAUUUACUUUGGUCAUAUAAAACCAUUUCUCAUCGAUAUGCACCGUGUUGUGCAUACUCUUGAAUUGAAGCACCUUGAGUAUUAUAUCAUACUCGAUUGCUUUAAGAGAAAACCUUAGACGUAGCAACUUAUUAGGGGUUGUUAAGUCGGGCUUUAUCGCACUAGUAUGAGCUCUGAUCAAACCUUUGCUUAUCCAUCGCCCAACUGUGCUCUUGCUGCAACUUAUUCCACUUGCUAGCCUUCGAAUGAUUGAUCUCUUGCUUAGCUCCAAUGUUGAAAUUAAUUCAAGAUCUAUUUCAACUCUCUUGCGCUUUAGUUUGUUGAUUUUGCCAUUGCUACUAUGAAUAUGAUGACCUUGUGCUUGUUGGUUUUUUGCAGCAGUCCAUAGCCGAGUCAACGUUCGACAGCAAACGGCAAACUUGACGGCGGCAACCUGCAUUCUGCCCAUUUUUGGCUUCCCACCAUGGCUAUCUUCAAGCAGAAAUUGCAGUAUGGAGUUUCUCUUUCCCGUUGUUAGAUCUUUGCGCCGCAUUUUUAGUUUUUUCAAGUGUUUUUUGUGGCAAUUUGUAGGCUGCCUCUAUUAUGUGAUGUUGGUAGUGUAGUGUUCGAAUGAAGUGUUAGGCAGAUUUUAUAGAUUUUGCAAAUGUAUUUUGAUGGAAAAUUUUGAAAAAUGUUGAAUUUUGGUGAAGUAAAUGAAAUUUUCAGG
rnacentral:lncRNA from 1 species